ACUUCCGGUUUGAGCGCUGAGGAGACUGCUGUUGGAGCGCUCCGAGCCCGGCCGGAACCAUGGUGAGGAGCGGGCGGGCCGCGGGCGCGCAGGGCGCAGGCCCCGCGGGGUGUCACGGUGCUGCCGGAGAGCAGAGGUGGCUGCAGGGAGCGGAGCCGCCGCAUGCCCCGGGGGGGUGUUUGGGGUGUUCCGUGCGUGCUGAGCCGCUGCUUUGCUUCCCAGCCCCGCAAGAUUGAGGAGAUCAAGGACUUCCUGCUCACAGCCAGGAGGAAGGACGCCAAGUGUGAGUGUGGGGCUGCUGGAGCCCCCCGGGGGGGACCCGGUGUCCCGGCGGAGCUCCUGGGGCUGGGGGCGCUGCGGGACGCCCGGUGCCGGGUGCAGUGACGGUGGUUUGAAGCGGUUUGCUCGGUGUUGGCGUGUGCCUGAGGCCGCGCUGGGCAGGGGGAUGCUGUGGGGCAGGACUCGGGUUCUCCAGGCCUGGCUGAUCACCCCGGGGGGGUUCAGCCAAGCCCCAGCUUGGAAGCUGGUUUCCAGCCGCUCCAUCCCUGGCUCGCUGCAGCCUUCGCAGCCCGCAGGGUGCCAGGCGCUCGCGGCUCUGCCACAGCGACAAGGGGAUCCUGCUCGAACCUGGCCUUCCUUGUCUUGCACGUACAGAGGUGGUGAUGGCUGAAGCUCUGACACUGCCUCAGCUCAGCACUUAACCGCGUGUGACGAGGUUUCCCUCUUCUCUCGCCUGUUUGGAUCCGACUGGCACACGGAAGAGUCACCUUCAUGCUUAAAUCCUUUUGUUAACCCACCAACGUGGCUGAGAGGAGAGUUCCACACUGAAACGCUGAGGGAGCUGCUGGCAGCCCCUCACAGAGCGUUCCUGUGCUGUUCCACUUGGAUUUCCCAGCGGCUCCAGCCGAGUGGCUCGGAUAAACUGGCUUUUGGGGAGCUCUGUGCGUGGAGCUGGGGAGCUGCAGUGUGGAAACGGGCAAUGGAGUCAGGGUUUCAUGUUGGUGGUUGUAAAACCAGCCUCAAAAUGAAGCCGUCGGCGCCGAGGAGGCUGGGGCUGAGCCCUUGGCUGUUCACCUCCUUGUUGGUGCAGCAAAACCCACUUAAUUUGGGGGUUUCACAGUGCAGGGGGCCAGGGGGAGCUGGGCUGGGGUGGCUCCGUCCUGCUGAGCUCUUCUGACCCUGCAGCCGUCAAGAUCAAGAAGAACAAGGACAACGUGAAGUUCAAGGUGCGCUGCAGCCGGUAUCUCUACACCCUGGUCAUCACCGACAAGGAGAAGGCCGAGAAGCUGAAGCAGUCGCUGCCGCCAGGUACCUCCCGGUGUCCCGGGGGAAGGUGUGGCACCAGGAGCCCUCUCCCGGGCUGUGUCCCUGCUCCGGGAGCCGUUUCUCACCCGCACUUUCUCUCCUCCGCAGGUUUGGCCGUUAAGGAGCUGAAAUGAGCCGAGAAAUGGGACGUUUCAGUGUUUGUUACAAUAAAUAAACCCGACUGUU
rnacentral:lncRNA from 1 species